rnacentral:misc_RNA from 1 species
AACGCACAUUGCGCCUCCUGGUACUCCGGGAGGCAUGCCUGUCCGAGCGUCAUUAUAACCCUCUCAAGCAUCAUUGCUUGGUCUUGGAGCUGGAGCGUCCUCCGCGGCGGUCCGUUCCGAAUUCCAAUGGCAGACGACGGUGUCAACGUCAGCGCAGUGAGCAUUUUGCAUCGCGAAGCGUAGUCACCCGUCCCGCCGAACCGAAAACCCUUCUUUUUAUAAUGUUGACCUCGGAUCAGGUAGGGAUACCCGCUGAACUUAA